rnacentral:lncRNA from 1 species
GCUUCUUUGGUAUCACCACCGGUGGUUUGUAUUCUGGUACCGGCGGAGGACACGGCUUCUUCGGAAUCACCACCGGUGGUUUGUAUACUGGUACCGGCGGAGGACACGGCUUCUUCGGGAUCACUACCGGUGGAAUGUAGAUUGGUGGAUGCUCUAUCUUCGGCGGCGGCUUGUAAACCGGAACUGGAGGUGGGUGCUCUAUCUUCGGCGGUGGAAUGACUAUCUUUGGCGGCGGCUUGUGGACUGGAACCGGCGGUGGAUCAACUUUCUUCGGCGGUUUAGGCGGACAAGGCUUCUUCGUUGGUGGUUUGUAGACUGGCACCGGCGGUGGAAGCUCCACCUUCGGCGGCUUAGGCGGACAUGGCUUCUUCGGUGGCUUGUGUACCGGAACUGGAGGUGGGUGCUCUAUCUUUGGCGGUGGCUUGUAAACCGGAACCGAAGGUGGGUGCUCUAUCUUUGGCGGUGGCUUGUAAACCGGAACCGAAGGUGGGUGCUCUAUCUUUGGCGGUGGCUUGUAAACCGGAACUGGAGGUGGGUGCUCUAUCUUUGGCGGUGGCUUGUAAACCGGAACCGGAGGUGGGUGCUCUAUCUUCGGCGGUUUAGGUGGACAAGGCUUCUUAGGAAUAGGCGGUGGAAGCUCCACCUUUGGUGAUGGCUCGUAAAUCGGGACAGGUGGGGGAACCUCUUUCUUUGGCGGUGGAUCGUAAACCGGAACCGGAG